UACGGAAGGGGCAAGCGUUGUUCGGAAUCACUGGGCGUAAGCGCACGUAGGCGGCUUUCUAAGUCAGGGGUGAAAUCCUGGAGCUCAACUCCAGAACUGCCUUUGAUACUGGAGAGCUUGAGUCCGGAAGAGGUGAGUGGAACUCCGGAGUGUAGAGGUGAAAUUCGAUAGAUAUUGGAAGAACACCAGUGGCGAAGGCGGCUCACAUGGUCCGGUACUGGACGCUGAUGUGCGAAAGCGUGGGGAGCA
rnacentral:rRNA from 1 species